CUCCUGACCUCAGGUGAUCUGCCUGCCUCAGCCUCCCAAAGUUCUGGGAUGACAGGCGUGAGCCACCAUUGCUGGCCUAUUUUUAAGAACAAAUUAUCUGAUAGAAAUAAAACCUUUUUUUUAUACCAUAUCCCAUUUUGUAACUUUUAGAAACAAUGACUGCUGUAUUGAUACAGUCCAGUAUAAAUAGGCAAAUCAACCUGAUGUGAGAAAUGACAUUCAAGAGUGUGUAAAAAUGCUAGUUAAUGGGAAAUGGUAAAAUGGCUUUUGGAGGGUAUGUGAUGUAGUUAAAAUUUGAUUAAAUGUUCUUUGGAAUUGGAUAAGAGUAUUGUUGAUCAAUAUAAAUGACACUGGUAAAAUGACAUAUGAAUUACAAUUGAGAGAGCAAAAAAUGUGACUAGGAAAUUUUCAGAAGCUACUAAUAAUGAGCUCUUUGAAGUCACUUGCUAAAUUCAUCUUAAAGCUUUGAUAUCCAAAGAAAUUUAGCUGCCUUUCAGGGAUGGGGAAAGCCAGUGAAAAAUGUUUGUUUUAUUAAAGGAAGCUCACUGAAAUGUUUUUGAUAUAUUUUGUCCAGAGAUUGGUGCUAUGCAUAUCCAUAUUUUCUAUCAUCUUAGAUUGUCAUGACCAGCAGUACUAAGCAAAGGUGUCUAAGAAUCAAGAUACAAGAUUCACUUUUUGGUUAUUGUUGGAGAAUAAUCUCACAUAUUUUAAAAUUUGAAGGCCAUCAAACUACGGAAUGUUUGCCUGCUGCUAGGGAUAAUCUGGUGAGGAGAGAGACUGAUGAUACAAGAGAGUGGGAAAACCAAAGGUGCAAAGCCCUUGAGCAGCAUGAAGAACUUUUCACACAAUCUUCUGUCUUUUCUCAUUUAUUUACCACGUGACUUCCAGAUAGUCAUCAUCAAUCUGAGCGAAAUCCCAUGUUUCUGCAGGUAUGUGUGGCCGUCCUGAUGCUUUUGUCAACAACAAUGAUUUGACAUCGGCACUGGGCUUUGGUUUAAAUUGUUUCCUCUCUCCUUUUUUCUAAAUGUGCAUGUUAAAGUUCUAACCCCCGGAACCUCGAAAUAUGACUAUAUUUGGAGAUAAGGUCUUAAAAAGGUAAUUAUGUUAAAAUGAGGACAUUAAGGUGGGCCCUAAUCCAGUGUGAUCGGAGCCCUUAUGAGAAGUCUGGACACAGGCUGGCACAGAAGAAAGACCAUGGGAAGAUGCUGGGAGAUGAUGGCCAUCUAUGAGACAAGGAGUUUUCAGAAGAAACCCGCUCUGCCGACAACUUGAUCUUGGACUUCUAGCCUCCAGCAUUGUUGAGAAAAUGAAUUGCGGUUGUUUAAUCCACUAAGUCUGUGGUAUUUUCUUAUGGCAGCCCUAGCAAAUGAGUACAUACUGUCAUGCUUGUUACUUGAUUUGGCCUUUGAUUGUUACAACAGCCUGAGGUUUGGAGGACCAGAAUUACGAAUGCCAGUUUACAGAUGAGAACACUGAGGUGAAGAGAUAAAUGACUGACCCAAGGUCAGGAAUCAAAAUAGCUAAUAAAUGAUACACAAAGUGUCAUAGAUUUUUUCCAAGUGUUGUUUCCUUGGCAAAGGAAAAAUUUUUUCCAAGUGUUGUUUCCUUGGUGGCAGGCCUUGUAGUCAUGCCCUGCCUGUAGUGGCCGAUAUGACUCUAUGCUGGUCCAUUAAUUAGAGCCAAAAGCUACAGUUCUCUGCAAAUAUAGAUUCUAGUGUGUUCUGAAAUAAGACUUAAAACACUUAAAAACUUAAGGAUGACCAGUGAUGAAAUAUAUUCACAUUUUUAACCAUCACUUUUAUGUAGCCCAUGAAAUGAUACAGCUCAGUGAACAUUUAAAAGUUUAGUCUCUCAAUGAGAAGUGAUAAAACUUGACCCGUGCAUGACAAGAAGAGAGCUGAUUCUUUAAAGCCUUUUUGAAGAGCUACGACAUUUCUCAAAACAUUUCUUGUACCAAAGAAUAUCUUAAUAAAGCAAUAAUCAAUCAACUAACAUUAUGUUAGUUUUCUUAUAUAAAUACCUUGAGUGAAUGAUACCAGUGAAGUUACCAUCCUUUUUUCUGCAGUGCUUUUUGGGUCAUUUUAAUUUUAAGCUACAUGCUCUUAACUUGAAUUUUAAAUUUCUGAAUGGAAUAUACUUAUAAUAAAUGAUCUGAGUGACAGAGUUUGCAACACGUUUAGCAUGUGCUGAUUCACUAACAUACACUUUCUUUCAAAUUACUUUUACUAAGAGUACAGCUUUACGCUUACACUGGGGAAUAAGACAAUAUUUCAAAAAAUUUCUAAGGUAACAAAGAGGAAAUGUGUAUUGUGUGUGUGUGUGUGUGCGUGUGUGUGUGUGUGUGUGAAUCAUCUUUCAGUGUAAUGAGAAAUUUUAUUCCACCUUAUGAAAACAUGAGUUUUUUUAGCAUACAAACUUAAAGAUCAAAUUGUUAGGUUGUUCAUUGUGUCCGUCUUCAGCUGUGUAAUGCUAAAUAGAUAUUCAGGUUACCAUCCUAUCUAUUAUGCAUUUUUUUUGUGUUCCCACAUUCUAAAAUGAGUCAGAUUUAUUGAUUUUUACAAUCUAAGGAGGAUAAUAUGUUAGCCGAUUAUUUUAAUAAUUUGUGACUUCCUGAUUAUUAGUGAGAUUAUUAGUGAGACAAACAGAUCUUUGACGUAUUUAUUGGACAUUUGAAUGUCUUUUGUCAACUGUCAAUUCUUAUAACUAGCCUAUUUUUCUAUUUAUUUUUAUUUUAUUACAAUUGAAUUUAUCUGUUCCUUUUGCAUAUUGUAUGAUAUCCCAUUUUACCUGUGAGAUUUGUAACUAUCCUCUUCCCACCUGUGGCUUUAUUUUCACUUUGCUUAUGAUGUAUUUUAUCUUAUAAAAGGUUUCAGUAUUAAUAUGUUCAAAUAUGUUCAUUUUUCUUUUAUGCUUUUGUCUUUUCUGUGUUUCUAUCUUGGUGUCAUCGAUAUAGUCUCUACAUUAUAAUUUGAAAGUUAAAUAUUUGUUUAUCUGAUUUAAGUUAUUAAUCCCAUCAGAAGUUACUUUUUUUGUUUUUAUUUGUAGAGAAGUAGUUAUCUGAUUUUUUUUUUCUUUCUCUGUAUGAUUAGCCAGUGAUUUCUUCACCAUGUAUUGGAUAGUCUAUCUUUUGCUCAGACAUUUGUAGUAUGCCCUAUCCUAAGCUCUCAUAGGUACAUGAGUUGAUUUUAAGGCCAUCUAUUCUGUCACUUUCGUUCCUGUGUCUAUUCCUUAAACUAUAUACACUGUUUAAUUUCUGUAGCUUUUUAGUAGUGGCUUGUAUCAGUUAAGCUAUUUCUGUAUUCAUUCACAACAACAAAAUUUCCUUGACAGAUACUGAUCUGUAACUUUUCCAUGGGUAUUUUAGCAAAAAGUUGCCAUCUUCCUUGAAAACACUAAUAGGAUUUGAUUAGGAUUGCUUUGAUUUUAUAUAUUUAUUUGUAAGAGUUGCCCUAAGGACCUUUAGGCAUAUGAGCAUGAUAUGUAACUUGUUUGCUUAUGUCUUUUUAUGGCAUUCAAUAAAAUUAUUAUUUUAAUCUAAA